CGGUCCCCUGCCCGGGGCCUCCGGUGAUGAUUUGCAGUCCAGAGCCUCCGGCGAUGAUCCACGGUCCGGAUCUACAAAGAUCAGUGUAAAAUUGGGGGCGAAAUCCAGAACCAGAGCCGCCACCGAGGGUAGAUGCCCACCCGGACCCUUCCCUAUAAGUUCAGACGACAAGCAUGUACAAAAACCCAAAGUGACGGUCUACCCAGCGUCCAACCCUGAGCCGAAUGGGAAGAUCACCCUGCUAUGUCUGGCUAGAGACAUGUUUCCAGACUUAGUCAAGAUCUCAUGGAAGAUGGAGGAUGAAUACAGCAGAACAAUGGAGGUGGCCAAAGCAGAGAGGGAAGAGCUGGAGCAGAGGGAGGAAGGACAGAUGACCAGUAUGAUCAUCAUUGAUAAAGAGAAGAUGUACAGGAACAAAUACAUCUGUUCUGUGGAGCAUGAAUGGGGCAUUCAAGAUGUUGACAUACCAAGGGAUUCCUUCCCGCUCAUGUGCAGUCUGAACCUGGCCUCUCUGGUUUAUACAGUGAUGAUAGUGAAGAGCAUGGUGUACUGCUGUGGGCUCUCUCUCCUGCUGCACCACAGGAACAUGGGGAAGUGGACACAACACCUGUAGAAAGGAUACUCCCCAGUAUGGAUAAAGAUGUAGUAGGCUGGGAAUAACAUGGAUUUUACAUCCUAUUGAGGUCUAACAUCUCAAUUGUUGGCCUAUUGCCUUAAUUUUUUCAACUUUAUUUUUCAAAUGCUAAAAUAUUGUGAGCCAUAGAUUUCCAUGUCUUC
ensembl:lncRNA